UACGUAGGGUGCAAGCGUUGUCCGGAAUUAUUGGGCGUAAAGGGCUCGUAGGCGGUCCAUCGCGUCGGGAGUGAAAAGCUGGGGCUCAACCCCAGUCCUGCUUCCGAUACGGGUGGACUAGAGGUAUGCAGGGGAGAACGGAAUUCCUGGUGUAGCGGUGAAAUGCGUAGAUAUCGGAAGGAACACCAGUGGCGAAAGCGGCUUCCUGGUCCAGCACCGACGUUCAGGCACGAAAGCGUGGGGAGCAAACAGG
rnacentral:rRNA from 1 species